AACGAACGCUGGCGGCGCGCUUAACACAUGCAAGUCGCACGGGAAUUAGGGGGGCAACUCCCUAUAGUACAGUGGCGCACGGGUGAGUAACACGUAGGUAACCUCCCUUUAGCUGUGGAACAACUCCGCGAAAGCGAAGCUAAUUCCGCAUACGUUGCGCCGUCAAUCAGGUUCACGAUAAAAAAAUAUCGCGGAUCUAAUUGACGGCGCAAGAAAGAUGACCUCUGUUUACAAGUUAUCGGCGAAAGAUGGGCCUGCGUACUAUCAGCUAGUUGGUAGGGUAAUGGCCUACCAAGGCUACGACGGUUAGCUGGUCUGAGAGGACGGCCAGCCACACUGGAACUGAGACACGGUCCAGACUCCUACGGGAGGCAGCAGUGGGGAAUUUUGCGCAAUGGGCGAAAGCCUGACGCAGCGACGCCGCGUGGGUGAUGAAGGCCUUCGGGUUGUAAAGCCCUGUCGGAGGGAACGAAUCUUCCCGUUGCUAAUAUCAACGGGAAAUGACGGUACCCUCAAAGGAAGCACCGGCUAACUCCGUGCCAGCAGCCGCGGUAAUACGGAGGGUGCAAGCGUUGUUCGGAAUUACUGGGCGUAAAGCGCCUGUAGGCGGUUAGGGAAGUUGGGUGUGAAAGCCCCGGGCUUAACCCGGGAACUGCGCCCAAAACCACCUAGCUUGAGUGCCAAAUGGGUACGUGGAAUUCCCAGUGUAGCAGUGAAAUGCGUAGAUAUUGGGAGGAACACCGGUGGUGAAGACGACGUACUGGAUGGUAACUGACGCUGAGAGGCGAAAGCGCGGGUAGCAAACAGGAUUAGAUACCCUGGUAGUCCGCGCCGUAAACGAUGGAUACUAGGUGUUGGGGGGCUUUAGAAACCCUUCAGUGCCGACGCUAACGCAUUAAGUAUCCCGCCUGGGAAGUACGGCCGCAAGGUUGAAACUCAAAGAAAUUGACGGGGGCCCGCACAAGCGGUGGAGUAUGUGGUUCAAUUCGACGCAACGCGAAGAACCUUACCUGGGCUUGACAUCUGGGGAAUUCUUACGAAAGUAGGAAGUGCCCGCAAGGGAGCCCCAAGACAGGUGCUGCAUGGCUGUCGUCAGCUCGUGUCGUGAGAUGUUGGGUUAAGUCCCGCAACGAGCGCAACCCACGUCCUUAGUUGCGACCACGUAAUGGUGAGCACUCUAGGGAGACCGCCGGUGUUAAACCGGAGGAAGGUGUGGAUGACGUCAAGUCCUCAUGGCCUUUAUGCCCAGGGCUACACACGUACUACAAUGGAUGUUACAAAGGGUCGCCAACCCGCGAGGGGGAGCCAAUCCCAAAAAAGCAUCCCAAGUUCAGAUUGCAGUCUGCAACUCGACUGCAUGAAGUCGGAAUCGCUAGUAAACGCAGAUCAGCAUGCUGCGUUGAAUACGUUCCCGGGCCUUGUACACACCGCCCGUCACACCACGAAAGUUGUCUAUACCAGAAGUCGGUAAGCUAACCGCAAGGAGGCAGCCGCCCAAGGUAUGGGCAAUGAUUGGGGUG
rnacentral:rRNA from 1 species